AUUGAACGCUGGCGGCAGGCCUAACACAUGCAAGUCGAGCGGAGCGGCGGACGGGUGAGUAAUGCCUAGGAAUCUGCCUGGUAGUGGGGGAUCACGUCCGGAAACGGGCGCUAAUACCGCAUACUAUCAGAUGAGCCUAGGUCGGAUUAGCUAGUGGGUGGGGUAAAGGCCUACCAAGGCGACGAUCCGUAACUGGUCUGAGAGGAUGAUCAGUCAAACUGGAACGGAGACACGGUCCAGAAUCCUACGGUAGGCAGCAGGGGGGAAUAUUGGACAAUGGGCGAAAUCCUGAGUCAGCCAUGACGCGUGUGUGAAGAAGGUCUUCGGGUUGUAAAGCACUUUAAGUUGGGAGGCGUUACCAUCAGAAUAAGCACCGGCUAACUUCGUGCCAGCAGCCGCGGUAAUAC
rnacentral:rRNA from 1 species